UGCUAUUACGGCUCGAUUCGGUUACGGGGCUAUUACAUCCAUUGCCUGUAAUAGCCAUUCCGCUUGUGAUUCGACGAUUAGGGAUUCCGCCCUUGUUUCCUAUUUCCUAUUCCAAUCACUGCCCUCAUCAAGCUUCCGUUCCCUUCCAGAGGUAAUUUCCCUUUCCCUUUCAUCGAUUUCUGCUUCUUUUUUUUAUCUGUGAUUCAUUUAUUCUCAUUCGUUUGUUAAAAUUUAUUUUUGUUCGCUUCUUCUUCUUCUCGUUCGUUUUCUUUUGCUCAAAUCUGCGAUAUUGAUUCUUUUCUUAUGUUUCCAUUGGGUUUUGAUUUUACUGUUUGUAUUGCAUGUUUGAUUUUCUUGUUUGAUUUCCUUGUUAACCCCUUCAUCUUAUUCCCCUUUUUUCCUUCAUUACUGAUGUUGAAAUUCCGCUGGAAGAACCAUAAAAAAGACAUCAGUAUUAGCUUCAAGAAUCAGAGGAGAGAAAUUCGAGAUUGCUCCUUUUUCUCUCUAUAAAUUUCUAGGUUUUAAGACUCAGUCUUAAUUAAUUAUUAUUAUCGAAAACGACUAUUUCCUUUGUUUAUUUGUUAAUCGAAAAUGAGCGAUCAAUCGGAGGAAUUGCCUCUCAUGGCUCCCCCACCGAUCACCAGCCCAGCCAGAUCGAUCUCGAAGCCGGUCCAGCCGAUCAAAUUCAGUGUCGAAUUUGCCUCAAAACUGACGAGAUUUUAUUGCUCCUUGCAAGUGCAAAGGAAAAUCAAAAUAUGUACAUCGGGAAUGUUUAGAUCAUUGGCGAGCUAUAAAGACAAAGACAAAGGCAUAAUGAUUUCAGGUACUCCAACAAGAUUCGAGGCACCCCAAGAAAAUUGAUCUGUCUGUUUGGUACAACCUAGCAUCUUUAUGUUGUAAUAAGGCUUCUGUCCUUAUGGUAUCUACGAAUUGGUUCUUUGAAACUGCACAAGAUCAUCUAUGACCUGAAACAAGCACCACAAGCUUGGCAUCUAGAGCUAAGUAGUUUCCUUCUACAAUAUGAUUAAGAACUCAGUUUCAUAUGUUUGUUUAUUCAUCUAUGUUAAGGAUUCCAUCCAAAUUUUAUUUCUUGGUUUAUGUGAAUUAUCUUGUAGUCCGAUGAAGUAAUAAUAAUUCCUCUGUUCAGUCUUUUCUGGCAACAA